rnacentral:rRNA from 1 species
UACGCGUGGGAAUCUGCCCUGGAGUGGGGGAUAACCGAGGGAAACCUCGGCUAAUACCGCAUACAAACUGAGGGUGAAAGAUUUAUCGCUCUAGGAGGGGCCCGCGUCGGAUUAGCUAGUUGGUGAGGUAACGGCCCACCAAGGCUAUGAUCCGUAGCUGGUCUGAGAGGAUGAUCAGCCACACUGGGACUGAGACACGGCCCAGACUCCUACGGGAGGCAGCAGUGGGGAAUAUUGGACAAUGGGCGCAAGCCUGAUCCAGCAAUGCCGCGUGAGUGAUGAAGGCCUUAGGGUUGU